CACGAACGCUGGCGGCGUGCUUAACACAUGCAAGUCGAACGGAAAGGCCCUGCUUUUGUGGGGUGCUCGAGUGGCGAACGGGUGAGUAACACGUGAGUAACCUGCCCUUGACUUUGGGAUAACUUCAGGAAACUGGGGCUAAUACCGGAUAGGAGCUCCUGCUGCAUGGUGGGGGUUGGAAAGUUUCGGCGGUUGGGGAUGGACUCGCGGCUUAUCAGCUUGUUGGUGGGGUAGUGGCUUACCAAGGCUUUGACGGGUAGCCGGCCUGAGAGGGUGACCGGCCACAUUGGGACUGAGAUACGGCCCAGAGUCCUACGGGAGGCAGCAGUGGGGAAUAUUGCACAAUGGGCGGAAGCCUGAUGCAGCAACGCCGCGUGCGGGAUGACGGCCUUCGGGUUGUAAACCGCUUUCGCCUGUGACGAAGCGUGAGUGACGGUAAUGGGUAAAGAAGCACCGGCUAACUACGUG
rnacentral:rRNA from 1 species